rnacentral:rRNA from 1 species
GAGUAAUGUCUGGGAAACUGCCUGAUGGAGGGGGAUAACUACUGGAAACGGUGGCUAAUACCGCAUAACGUCGCAAGACCAAAGAGGGGGACCUUCGGGCCUCUUGCCAUCAGAUGUGCCCAGAUGGGAUUAGCUAGUUGGUGAGGUAACGGCUCACCAAGGCGACGAUCCCUAGCUGGUCUGAGAGGAUGACCAGCCACACUGGAACUGAGACACGGUCCAGACUCCUACGGGAGGCAGCAGUGGGGAAUAUUGCACAAUGGGCGCAAGCCUGAUGCAGCCAUGCCGCGUGUAUGAAGAAGGCCUUCGGGUUGUAAAGUACUUUCAGCGGGGAGGAAGGUGUUGCGGUUAAUAACCGCAGCAAUUGACGUUACCCGCAGAAGAAGCACCGGCUAACUCCGUGCCAGCAGCCGCGGUAAUACGGAGGGUGCAAGCGUUAAUCGGAAUUACUGGGCGUAAAGCGCACGCAGGCGGUCUGUCAAGUCGGAUGUGAAAUCCCCGGGCUCAACCUGGGAACUGCAUUCGAAACUGGCAGGCUUGAGUCUUGUAGAGGGGGGUAGAAUUCCAGGUGUAGCGGUGAAAUGCGUAGAGAUCUGGAGGAAUACCGGUGGCGAAGGCGGCCCCCUGGACAAAGACUGACGCUCAGGUGCGAAAGCGUGGGGAGCAAACAGGAUUAGAUACCCUGGUAGUCCACGCCGUAAACGAUGUCUACUUGGAGGUUGUGCCCUUGAGGCGUGGCUUCCGGAGCUAACGCGUUAAGUAGACCGCCUGGGGAGUACGGCCGCAAGGUUAAAACUCAAAUGAAUUGACGGGGGCCCGCACAAGCGGUGGAGCAUGUGGUUUAAUUCGAUGCAACGCGAAGAACCUUACCUGGUCUUGACAUCCACAGAACUUUCCAGAGAUGGAUUGGUGCCUUCGGGAACUGUGAGACAGGUGCUGCAUGGCUGUCGUCAGCUCGUGUUGUGAAAUGUUGGGUUAAGUCCCGCAACGAGCGCAACCC